AAGGACGAUGACCCAUCGUAUAUGCCACCAAGCCCACAAAGAGCAAACCUUUGAGAAAAAGGAGGCUCCUUUCUGAAAGCGAUGAAGAAGACAUGAGAGGUGCCAUUGAAAAGGCUAUGAUAAGUCAAACGUUC